rnacentral:sRNA from 1 species
GUCUGCCCACAUCAGUGCCCACCACGAAAACUGCUGCUGUGUUAUCAAGAAUUUAAAGGCCAUGCUAUCCAUCAUGUAUUAUCUCACAUUGGUGUUCCCCGCUUCUUUCACUCAGAAUCCUAACUCUUCAGAGACACAGGAAAGUGCCAGUUUCAACAAAUGCAAUGAUUUAAAGCCAUAAAUGUAACAGGAAGAUCUAAUUCUGGAAGAUAUACAAAUGCCGAAAGGAAAAUUAAAGCCACUUACCCCGAGGAAGAGAUGAAGGUGAAGAACUUUCUGGGCCUGAGUCCGUGGGAACACAGAAGAAAGAAAGAAGAACUGAGACUUAAAACAAAUGAAGCUUAACUGGUACAUCUGGACUCUGAUGAGUGAGAAGUCCAAGCAAAUAGAAAAGCCACAGCCAAAUGGGUCUUACUGUGUCACCCAGGCUGGAGUGGAAUGGCACUAUCUUGACUCACUACAGCCUUAAUCUCCUAAGCUCAAGCAAUCCUCUCACCUCAGGCUCCCGAGUAGCUGGGACUACAGAUGGGUUCUCUACCUAGCCUGUGCCUUGUUGCCUGUUCCUUUACUGUACAUGUGAUGACAGAAAAGAAGAUAGAGCCUCCAUGUUGAACAUGCCUGGCUCUCAGGUAGCCCUUUUCUAUUGGCACAGCUGCUGGCAUUCAUCUGUGCAAGCUUCCAGCUUGCUCAUCUAUGUCUGCAGCUCGAUUUCUCAGGCUGCUCUUUGUUAGAAAAGAAAUGAUUUUUUGGGCUGCUUUUUGUUAAAACGGAAAAUUCUGCGUAUGACUCUGUUUUCCCUACUAUCUGCCUAAAUAAUUUAUUUCUAUGUCCUGUAUCACUGGUUUCCCCCCACCUACCAAGUUGUUCUUAAAAACUGCUCCCUGAAUGCUCUAAGAGACUGAUUUGAGUUUUGAAUAAAACUCUGGAC